rnacentral:rRNA from 1 species
UACAGAGGGUGCGAGCGUUAAUCGGAAUUACUGGGCGUAAAGGGCGCGUAGGCGGCUUGAUAAGUGAGGUGUGAAAGGCUUGGGCUUAACCUGGGCAUAGCAUUUUAGACUGUUGAGCUGGGGUAGGGUAGAGGGAAGCGGAAUUUCCGGUGUAGCGGUGAAAUGCGUAGAUAUCGGAAAGAACACCGGUGGCGAAGGCGGCUUCCUGGACUUAUACUGACGCUGAGGCGCGAAAGCUAGGGUAGCAAACGGG